UCAUAUAUAUAUAUAUAAUAACAAGUCCUACUAAUCAUGCAUCAUCAUACAACUUCUACUCGUUAUUAAUAAUAAGUCAUACGAUCAUCAUCCUCAUAUAUAGUCAUCGAACCCAACCCUACAUAAUUGUUCUUAGCACAUGAUCAUCAGUAUCAGGUAGGACCUAAACACCCUUAAGGUAAAAUAGCAUAAAACAAUAUAGACCCUGACUCUCCAUUAUGAAGAAUGGCGAUCAUCCUGUCUCCAAUUCUUGCCUUUCGCUGCUUAUUGCUUCCAAGAAGCUCCUUACGACUGUCCAUACAUUUUUUCCAUUCUUUGAUUGUUAUGUCUCCACUUCUUUUAGAAACCCGGUAUGGACAGUUGAGAUUCGUAGGACGACCUGGUCGUAUGUUCAAAACAUGAAGGCUACCACGCGUAUACAUCAGAUGAGGCACACAAUCAUUCGGGAUUAUCUGUUGAAAAAC
rnacentral:rRNA from 1 species